CCUACGGGAGGCAGCAGUGGGGAAUAUUGCACAAUGGGGGAAAGCCUGAUCCAGCCACGCCGCGUGAAGGAAGAAGUCUUUCGGUAUGGAAACUUCUAUCAGCAGGGAAGAAAAUGACGGUACCUGACUGAGAAGCCCCGGCUAACUACGUGCCAGCAGCCGCGGGAAUACGUAGGGGGCAAGCGUUAUCCGGAUUUACUGGGUGUAAAGGGAGCGUAGGCGGUUUAGCAAGUCAGAAGUGAAAGCCCGGGGCUCACCUCCGGGACUGCUUUUGAAACUGUUGAACUAGAUUGCAGGAGAGGCAAGUGGAAUGCCUAGUGUAGCGGUGAAAUGCGUAGAUAUUAGGAGGAACACCAGUUGCGAAGGCGGCUUACUGGACUGUAAAUGACGCUGAGGCUCGAAAGCGUGGGGAGCGAACAGGAUUAGAUACCCUAGUAGUC
rnacentral:rRNA from 1 species